CAUCCAGAAGCUAUAGAUUAGCAACAGCCUUUUAAGCUGUAGAUAGGUGAACCCGACCACCCUUGAUGA
rnacentral:tRNA from 1 species